ACGAACGCUGGCGGCAGGCCUCAAACAUGCAAGUCUAGGGGGUGCAGCAAUGCAUCACCGGCGGACGGGUGCGUAACGCGUGGGGAUAUACCUUUUGGUUCGGAACAACUGCGGGAAACUGCAGCUAAUACCGAAUGUGCCCUAACGGGGAAAGAUUUAUCGCCAAAGGAUUAGCCCGCGUAGGAUUAGCUAGUUGGUGAGGUAAUGGCUCACCAAGGCUCCGAUCCUUAGCUGCUGAGAGGAAGAUCAGCCACACUGGGACUGAGACACGGCCCAGACUCCUACGGGAGGCAGCAGUUGGGAAUCUUGGACAAGGGGGGAGACCCUGAUCCAGCCAUGCCGCGUGAGUGAUGAAGGCCUU
rnacentral:rRNA from 1 species